GGAGGCGUGGCUGAGUGGUCGAUAGCGGCGGUCUUGAAAACCGUUGAGCCGCAAGGUUCCGUGGGUUCGAAUCCUACCGCCUCCGCCA
rnacentral:tRNA from 1 species